rnacentral:rRNA from 1 species
AUUGAACGCUGGCGGCAGGCCUAACACAUGCAAGUCGAGCGAGCGGCGGACGGGUGAGUUAUGCCUGGCAAUUGCCCAGUCGAGGGAGAUCACAGUUGGAAACGACCACUAAUACCGCAUACGAUUGUGUCGCCUAGUUGGGUUUAGCUAGUUGGUGGGGUAAUGGCUCACCAAGGCGACGCUCCCUAGCUGGUCUGAGAGGAUGAUCAGCCACACUGGAACGGAGACACGGUCCAGACUCCUACGGGAGGCAGCAGUGGGGAAUAUUGCACAAUGGGGGAAACCCUGAUGCAGCCAUGCCGCGUGUGUGAAGAAGGCCUUCGGGUUGUAAAGCACUUUCAGCGAGGAGGCGUUACUCGCAGAAGAAGCACCGGCUAACUCCGUGCCAGCAGCCGCGGUAAUAC